ACGCAGACAGAGUCAGCCUCAAUUCCUUGGACUGCAACAUGGACAUAGUCAUGUCUGACAGGGAUACAAUGCCCAUGAUGAUGAUCCAGGAGGAGGAUGAGGAGGGGGGAGCAGAUAAUCCGUACAGCGAGCCUCUAGGUGAAGCCUUGGCCCAGCAUGGCAGGAAGAAAGACAAUGACAGCCCUAGUUUAACCUUCGCUAACCCUUCGCUCAGCACCACAGACCUGUGAGUGGCCGCCAUUUUGGGUCAGUAUGUGACUGCCAUUUUUGGGGCAGAAUCACUGACCAGUGACGGCCACUUUGGGGCAGUAUUAGUGACCUUUUUGGGGGCAGUACCACUGAGCUGUGACGGCCAUCUUGGGAUCUAAGACUGACUGCGGGUCAUAAAAUGGACCACCAAAAUGGACCUCCCUCCCCUCCUGGAAAAGGAUGGAUGCCAAACUCUGUGAUAGAAAGACAAUCUGUCUUUUGAAAUUAAAUCAAGCUCAAUCAAAUGUUUUUUUUUUUGGGUUGAUCCACUUGUUUGCAUGCUAUUCUUUAUUUUAAAUUGAGGGAAUAUUUCCAUGUAACCAUUUAUCACAACACAUAGUGAUCUUAGAUCUGUCGGCUUGCUAUUUUCUGCUACGGUAUGUCACAAGUUAGCCAGGAGUUUGCUUUUGCCAAGACUCCCAAUGUCCUCAUGAAUCCAUUGAACAAUAUCAACCUAAAAGGAUGGCAAAACCAUUAAC